rnacentral:rRNA from 1 species
AGAUGGUGAGAGUGGCGCACGGGUGCGUAACGCGUGAGCAACCUACCUCUAUCAGGGGGAUAGCCUCUCGAAAGAGAGAUUAACACCGCAUAACAUCAACAGUUCGCAUGUUCGGUUGAUUAAAUAUUUAUAGGAUAGAGAUGGGCUCGCGUGACAUUAGCUAGUUGGUAGGGUAACGGCUUACCAAGGCGACGAUGUCUAGGGGCUCUGAGAGGAGAAUCCCCCACACUGGUACUGAGACACGGACCAGACUCCUACGGGAGGCAGCAGUAAGGAAUAUUGGUCAAUGGGCGGAAGCCUGAACCAGCCAUGCCGCGUGCAGGAUGACUGCCCUAUGGGUUGUAAACUGCUUUUGUCCAGGAAUAAACCCAGAUACGUGUAUCUGGCUGAAUGUACUGGAAGAAUAAGGAUCGGCUAACUCCGUGCCAGCAGCCGCGGUAAUACGGAGGAUCCGAGCGUUAUCCGGAUUUAUUGGGUUUAAAGGGUGCGUAGGCGGCCAAUUAAGUCAGGGGUGAAAUACGGUGGCUCAACCAUCGCAGUGCCUUUGAUACUGAUUGGCUUGAAUCCAUUUGAAGUGGGCGGAAUAAGACAAGUAGCGGUGAAAUGCAUAGAUAUGUCUUAGAACUCCGAUUGCGAAGGCAGCUCACUAAGCUGGUAUUGACGCUGAUGCACGAAAGCGUGGGGAUCGAACAGGAUUAGAUACCCUGGUAGUCCACGCCCUAAACGAUGAUAACUCGAUGUUGGCGAUAGACAGCCAGCGUCCCAGCGAAAGCGUUAAGUUAUCCACCUGGGGAGUACGCCCGCAAGGGUGAAACUCAAAGGAAUUGACGGGGGCCCGCACAAGCGGAGGAGCAUGUGGUUUAAUUCGAUGAUACGCGAGGAACCUUACCCGGGCUUGAAAGUU